rnacentral:tRNA from 1 species
GCCUUUGUGGUGUAACGGUAGCACACUCGGCGCGUAUUCGAGAGGUCCAGGUUCAAAUCCCGGCAAAGGUA